CCCUUCGAUGUUCUGGGCCGCACACGCGCUACACUGAAGGAGGCAGCGUGUACUCCUGGAUCGAAAGAUUUGGGUAACCCGCGAAUCUCCUUCGUGCUAGGGAUUGAGGUUUGCAAUUAUCCUUCAUGAACGAGGAAUUCCCAGUAAGUGCAAGUCAUAAGCUUGCGCUGACUACGUCCCUGCCCUUUGUACACACCGCCCGUCGCUACUACCGAUUGAAUGAUUUAGUGAGGACUUCGGACUGGGACCGAUGCGGCUUUCGGGCUGCGUCGGUAUUCUGGAAAGAUGUCCAAACUGUAUCAUUUAGAGGAAGUAAAAGUCGUAACA
rnacentral:rRNA from 1 species